rnacentral:rRNA from 1 species
GAGUUUGAUCGUGGCUCAGGAUGAACGCUGGCGGCGUGCCUAACACAUGCAAGUCGAACGAAGCAAUCGGGAUGAAGUUUUCGGAUGGAUUCCUGGUUGACUGAGUGGCGGACGGGUGAGUAACGCGUGGAUAACCUGCCUCACACUGGGGGAUAACAGUUAGAAAUGGCUGCCAAAUACCGCAUAAGCGCACAGUACCGCAUGGUACGGUGUGAAAAACCCAGGUGGUGUGAGAUGGAUCCGCGUCUGAUUAGCCAGUUGGCGGGUAACGGCCACC